rnacentral:tRNA from 1 species
GCCGAAGUGGCGAAAUAGGUAGACGCAGUAGACUCAAAAUCUGCCGCCUGAAAGGGCAUCCCGGUUCGAUUCCGGGCUUCGGCACCA